AGAGGUUAUCCGUGUUAUGUUC
rnacentral:miRNA from 2 species